CGCAAGGGGGCGGGGUCCAGGCGGGGCGUGGGGGGGGACCCCAAGCGUCGCGGGCGCGAGGGAGCCAAUCAAUUCUCUCCGCAGCUCCGGGGAUAGAAAACAAGUGUAAACACAUAGAUUUCACUCCCCACGAGCGGUCCGUAGUUUGGGGUAGAAAAGAUCUUUUUCUUUCGAUAAGAGCGCAUUUCUAGCGUAGGUUGGGAAGCCGACACUCCCCGGUAACUGGCAGGGGGAGGCGGUUUGCGGGACGCUGCCGGGGGGCGCUGAGCUUUGUGCCAACCUCUCCCAGCGUCCGGCCAGCCAGGAGAAAGCUGCGAAUGCAGGAGGGGAUGAAGGCGGAGAAUGGGUGAGGAAGGAAGGGGCUGGGAAAUGGGAAGAGGUCGUUCUGCCCCCGAUACUACAUAAUGGCUGGGAAGGACCGCCAAACAAGACUGGAACCAGUAGGAAGUUGUACGGUAUGAAGAAACAGGCCCAAGGAAGCUUCCAGAUUUUGUCAGAUGGUAGAUUCCAAGUCUCCAACUUCUACUGCUGCUUGGUGCUGUCUAACCGUCCCUUAAUGGCACAGAUUCACUGGACAGGUUGGUUAUUCAUUCCUGAAGUGUUUAUUCAGCUUCUGCUAAGUACCAGGAAGAGGCUGGACAUCAGCUGCCACCAGCAACAAGCAUGA
ensembl:lncRNA